AUUCUUCUAGUAUAAACAGUACAGGUGACUUCCAAUCACUUAGUCUUACAUUAAGCUAAGGAAGAAUA
rnacentral:tRNA from 1 species